UACGUAGGUCCCGAGCGUUGUCCGGAUUUAUUGGGCGUAAAGCGAGCGCAGGUGGUUUAUUAAGUCUGGUGUAAAAGGCAGUGGCUCAACCAUUGUAUGCAUUGGAAACUGGCGUGCUGGAGUGCCGGAGAGGUAAGCGGAAUUCCUAGUGUAGCGGUGAAAUGCGUAGAUAUUAGGAGGAACACCAGUGGCGAAGGCGGCUUACUGGACGGCAACUGACGCUGAGGCUCGAAAGCGUGGGGAGCAAACAGG
rnacentral:rRNA from 1 species